GAUGAACGCUAGCUACAGGCUUAACACAUGCAAGUCGAGGGGAAACGGCAUUGAGUGCUUGCACUCUUUGGACGUCGACCGGCGCACGGGUGAGUAACGCGUAUCCAACCUUCCCAUUACUGUGGGAUAACCUGCCGAAAGGCAGACUAAUACCGCAUAGUCUUCGAUGACGGCAUCAGAUUUGAAGUAAAGAUUUAUCGGUAAUGGAUGGGGAUGCGUCUGAUUAGCUUGUUGGCGGGGUAACGGCCCACCAAGGCUACGAUCAGUAGGGGUUCUGAGAGGAAGGUCCCCCACAUUGGAACUGAGACACGGUCCAAACACCUACGGGAGGCAGCAGUGAGGAAUAUUGGUCAAUGGACGGAAGUCUGAACCAGCCAAGUAGCGUGCAGGAUGACGGCCCUAUGGGUUGUAAACUGCUUUUGUAUGGGGAUAAAGUUAGGGACGUGUCCCUAUUUGCAGGUACCAUACGAAUAAGGACCGGCUAAUUCCGUG
rnacentral:rRNA from 1 species